AGAGAGAGAGAGAGGCUUGUGAGAAGAAGUAUUGAAGAAAAUAAAGAAUGUGGAACAUAUAUUUGUGUCUGUCUCUUACACAAGCUUGGUUUUGUGUUUUCUCCCUUGCACCCAUCCCCCACGUCUCUCCUCACAAGGCCUAAUAAAGCGAGAGCAGCACAGCAUAACGUUUGGGCCGACGGCUCCUCUACCAGUCCUGAUUCAAGCCUGUGUCCAGGAGAACUGUUGACUCAGCAAAAGAAACUGCUAAUAUUGUGGGGUCGUCGUGGCGCAGGGGUAGUGAGUGUUUGCUGGGAGCUGCAAGGACACACCGGCCAAUCGAGCUCUGUCAUUUUGAACCAUCACGUUGUGGCGAGUGGAAUUCUAGGACGGAGUGGAAUUCGGCUUGAUGCAGGGUUCAGGCAAGAGCAGAACAGGACCCUCAGCCAGGCCACAACAGGACAAGGCCAAACAGGCCAAACAGGACAAGGCCAAAGCAUGACUCUCACAUAACACACACAACACAUAGCAUACUACACAUCUCAUGAACACCAACAAGAAUUUUGUCUUUUUCAUUUUAAGUGGCCCAAAUCGCUUAUAUUAAAAGUAAACUAAUGAAAA